ACGUAGGUGUCAAGCGUUGUCCGGAAUUAUUGGGCGUAAAGCGCCCGCAGGCGGCUUGCCAAGUUCGAUGUGAAAUCUCCCGGCUUAACUGGGAGGGUGCAUCGAAAACUGGCAGGCUUGAGGCAGGGAGAGGGAUGUGGAAUUCCCAGUGUAGCGGUGAAAUGCGUAGAUAUUGGGAGGAACACCAGUGGCGAAGGCGGCUCACUGGACCGGUUCUGACGCUGAGGCGCGAAAGCGUGGGGAGCAAACGGGA
rnacentral:rRNA from 1 species